ACAUCAUUAACAUGCAUCCAAACCAAUAUUAUUCACCUGCUAUUUUUUAAUCUAUAUGCAAACUUGGACAUAUACAUCUGGUAUGUAGCACCUAGGGUAUAGUACUGUAAUCAUGUAAAACUGAAACUGAAUCUGAUGAUCUUGUGUGCAUGUGUAUACUAACAAUGUAGCCUCACACCAUUAAUAGUUAUCUGCAGCAAUUUAGAAGAAUCCAUCAAGUCAUUGAGAUGUAGAAAAAGGGCCCCUUGUGUGUUUUAGAAUGAAACUUCUGGCUGCACUUCUCUCGCUCUUGUUGAGACUCAGUGCUGCACUUGAUAUUAACUGAACAUUUUCUCUAAUUUUGUGCUGAAUAUGAAACUGCACUGCUGACUGUGUAGUUGAUUCUGUUUUGGAGAGAUAAAAGAAAUUACUUCUAGUUAGCAUCUCACAUGAGAUGUGUUUGUGUAGUUACUCAUUAAUUCCUGUAAAAACCUGUAGUAUAUGCUCGGAAGAACAAGGUUUUGGAACCAGAUUCAUAUUUGCAGGAUAAUAAGGUGUUGUUGCAUAAGUCGAAUGGACUAACUAGCAGGCGUCGUGUUUCCUGAAGUGUUGUGACCAUGGAGGACUUGGUGCAUGGAGCACCUUGAGUCCUUACUGCGUGCAUGCCUGUCUUGAAUGCUAGUGCAGACUUCACGCCAGCGCCUUCACCUUCUCCACAAACGACCAGAGUUCCCAAGUCUGAGGAUGCGCGCACGACAGCGACACCUUUAGUUGCUGAUUUGCUUCAGAUCACGGAAGCUUGGGUUGAUGGAGUGCUUGUCUUUAGUUUUGUUUUGACUUUGUAAAACUUGCUACCUAUGGAUGAAACUGUGUAAUAUUGAUGAAACUAUGUAUAUGUAUGGAUGAAACUUGCUACUAUUGAUAACAUGUGUUGGAUAUG